rnacentral:snRNA from 1 species
AUGAAAGCUGCAUGAUAAAUGUCCGCUAAAACUGAACAGUACAGAGAAGACAACACAGCCCCUGUUCAGCGAUGACACACAGAUUCGCGAAGCGUUCCAGAGUUUU